rnacentral:rRNA from 1 species
UACGUAGGGGGCAAGCGUUGUCCGGAAUCAUUGGGCGUAAAGCGCGUGUAGGCGGCUCGGUAAGUCCGCUCUGAAAGUCCAAGGCUCAACCUUGGGAUGCGGGUGGAUACUGCCGGGCUCGAGUCCGGAAGAGGCGAGUGGAAUUCCUGGUGUAGCGGUGAAAUGCGCAGAUAUCAGGAGGAACGCCAAAAGCGAAGGCAGCUCUCUGGGUCCCUACCGACGCUGGGGUGCGAAAGCGUGGGGAGCGAACAGG